rnacentral:rRNA from 1 species
GAUGAACGCUGGCGGCGUGCCUAAUACAUGCAAGUCGAGCGAACAGAUGAGGAUCUUGCUCCUCUGACGUUAGCGGCGGACGGGUGAGUAACACGUGGAUAACCUACCUAUAAGACUGGGAUAACUUCGGGAAACCUGAGCUAAUACCGGAUAAUAUAUUGAACCGCAUGGUUCAAUAGUGAAAGACGGUUUUGCUGUCACUUAUAGAUGGAUCCUCGCCGCAUUAGCUAGUUGGUAAGGUAACGGCUUACCAAGGCAACGAUGCGUAGCCGACCUGAGAGGGUGAUCGGCCACACUGGAACUGAGACACGGUCCAGACUCCUACGGGAGGCAGCAGUAGGGAAUCUUCCGCAAUGGGCGAAAGCCUGACGGAGCAACGCCGCGUGAGUGAUGAAGGUCUUCGGAUCGUAAAACGCUGUUAUUAGGGAAGAACAAAUGUGUAAGUAACUAUGCACGGCUUGACGGUACCUAAUCAGAAAGCCACGGCUAACUACGUG